AAUCAUAGUCGUCCGCUUAUUCGUUUAUCUUUCAUUUGAUUUGAUUUUGUUAAGCCGUGAUGGCUGAUCAGCUGGGAUGGACUGGCUAGCUAACCUUGCCCCAUUAAAAAACCAGAAAAGUUGCCCGAAUUGCAUAAGAUAACCGACCAGUCAAAAUUUCUUCUCAUCUCCGUAGAAUCUUUAAAUGGGCAUUCAAAAGAUACUUUAAAUGAAAAAAACAUACUCUGCAAUCUAUUUUCUGAUGAAAUAAACUUACCUGUGAAACAAAAGGCUUGGAUAUCACUCAUUAGCAGCGGCAAAAUGUGAGGUCCAUUGCUUCAUGACUGGAUUAAUUAAUAACCUUGAGGUUAUUUAAUAUAUUUUAUAUAUAAUAUGCGUCAAUAAACUGCGAUUAAAGCGGCGGAACUAAGCAAAGCAUUCCCUCACCAACAUAACGAGAAUAAAUGUCUAGUAAAUGAA